rnacentral:rRNA from 1 species
GGGUUGUGAGGUUAAGCGACUAAGCGUACACGGUGGAUGCCCUGGCAGUCAGAGGCGAUGAAGGGCGUGCUAAUCUGCGAUAAGCGCCGGUAAGGUGAUAUGAACCGUUAUAACCGGCGAUACCCGAAUGGGGAAACCCAGUGUGACUCGUCACACUAUCAUUAACUGAAUCCAUAGGUUAAUGAGGCGAACCGGGGGAACUGAAACAUCUAAGUACCCCGAGGAAAAGAAAUCAACCGAGAUUCCCCCAGUAGCGGCGAGCGAACGGGGAGGAGCCCAGAGCCUGAAUCAGCAUGUGUGUUAGUGGAAGCGUCUGGAAAGGCGCGCGAUACAGGGUGACAGCCCCGUACACAAAAGCGCAUGUGCUGUGAGCUCGAUGAGUAGGGCGGGACACGUGGUAUCCUGUCUGAAUAUGGGGGGACCAUCCUCCAAGGCUAAAUACUCCUGACUGACCGAUAGUGAACCAGUACCGUGAGGGAAAGGCGAAAAGAACCCCGGCGAGGGGAGUGAAAAAGAACCUGAAACCGUGUACGUACAAGCAGUGGGAGCACCCUUUGGGUGGUGACUGCGUACCUUUUGUAUAAUGGGUCAGCGACUUAUAUUCUGUAGCAAGGUUAACCGAAUAGGGGAGCCGGAGGGAAACCGAGUCUUAAUUGGGCGUUAAGUUGCAGGGUAUAGACCCGAAACCCGGUGAUCUAGCCAUGGGCAGGUUGAAGGUUGGGUAACACUAACUGGAGGACCGAACCGACUAAUGUUGAAAAAUUAGCGGAUGACCUGUGGCUGGGGGUGAAAGGCCAAUCAAACCGGGAGAUAGCUGGUUCUCCCCGAAAGCUAUUUAGGUAGCGCCUCGUGAAUUCAUCUCCGGGGGUAGAGCACUGUUUCGGCUAGGGGGCCAUCCCGGCUUACCAACCCGAUGCAAACUGCGAAUACCGGAGAAUGUUAUCACGGGAGACACACGGCGGGUGCUAACGUCCGUCGUGAAGAGGGAAACAACCCAGACCGCCAGCUAAGGUCCCAAAGUCAUGGUUAAGUGGGAAACGAUGUGGGAAGGCCCAGACAGCCAGGAUGUUGGCUUAGAAGCAGCCAUCAUUUAAAGAAAGCGUAAUAGCUCACUGGUCGAGUCGGCCUGCGCGGAAGAUGUAACGGGGCUAAACCAUGCACCGAAGCUGCGGCAGCGACACUGUGUGUUGUUGGGUAGGGGAGCGUUCUGUAAGCCUGCGAAGGUGGCCUGUGAGGGUUGCUGGAGGUAUCAGAAGUGCGAAUGCUGACAUAAGUAACGAUAAAGCGGGUGAAAAGCCCGCUCGCCGGAAGACCAAGGGUUCCUGUCCAACGUUAAUCGGGGCAGGGUGAGUCGACCCCUAAGGCGAGGCCGAAAGGCGUAGUCGAUGGGAAACGGGUUAAUAUUCCCGUACUUGGUGUUACUGCGAAGGGGGGACGGAGAAGGCUAUGUUGGCCGGGCGACGGUUGUCCCGGUUUAAGCGUGUAGGUGUGUGUUCCAGGUAAAUCCGGUUCACUUUAACACUGAGGCGUGACGACGAGGCACUACGGUGCUGAAGCAACAAAUGCCCUGCUUCCAGGAAAAGCCUCUAAGCAUCAGGUAACAUCAAAUCGUACCCCAAACCGACACAGGUGGUCAGGUAGAGAAUACCAAGGCGCUUGAGAGAACUCGGGUGAAGGAACUAGGCAAAAUGGUGCCGUAACUUCGGGAGAAGGCACGCUGACACGUAGGUGAAGUGAUUUACUCAUGGAGCUGAAGUCAGUCGAAGAUACCAGCUGGCUGCAACUGUUUAUUAAAAACACAGCACUGUGCAAACACGAAAGUGGACGUAUACGGUGUGACGCCUGCCCGGUGCCGGAAGGUUAAUUGAUGGGGUCAGCGCAAGCGAAGCUCCUGAUCGAAGCCCCGGUAAACGGCGGCCGUAACUAUAACGGUCCUAAGGUAGCGAAAUUCCUUGUCGGGUAAGUUCCGACCUGCACGAAUGGCGUAAUGAUGGCCAGGCUGUCUCCACCCGAGACUCAGUGAAAUUGAACUCGCUGUGAAGAUGCAGUGUACCCGCGGCAAGACGGAAAGACCCCGUGAACCUUUACUAUAGCUUGACACUGAACAUUGAGCCUUGAUGUGUAGGAUAGGUGGGAGGCUUUGAAGUGUGGACGCCAGUCUGCAUGGAGCCGACCUUGAAAUACCACCCUUUAAUGUUUGAUGUUCUAACGUGGACCCGUUACCCGGGUUGCGGACAGUGUCUGGUGGGUAGUUUGACUGGGGCGGUCUCCUCCUAAAGAGUAACGGAGGAGCACGAAGGUUGGCUAAUCCUGGUCGGACAUCAGGAGGUUAGUGCAAUGGCAUAAGCCAGCUUGACUGCGAGCGUGACGGCGCGAGCAGGUGCGAAAGCAGGUCAUAGUGAUCCGGUGGUUCUGAAUGGAAGGGCCAUCGCUCAACGGAUAAAAGGUACUCCGGGGAUAACAGGCUGAUACCGCCCAAGAGUUCAUAUCGACGGCGGUGUUUGGCACCUCGAUGUCGGCUCAUCACAUCCUGGGGCUGAAGUAGGUCCCAAGGGUAUGGCUGUUCGCCAUUUAAAGUGGUACGCGAGCUGGGUUUAGAACGUCGUGAGACAGUUCGGUCCCUAUCUGCCGUGGGCGCUGGAGAACUGAGGGGGGCUGCUCCUAGUACGAGAGGACCGGAGUGGACGCAUCACUGGUGUUCGGGUUGUCAUGCCAAUGGCACUGCCCGGUAGCUAAAUGCGGAAGAGAUAAGUGCUGAAAGCAUCUAAGCACGAAACUUGCCCCGAGAUGAGUUCUCCCUGAGACUUAAAGUCUCCUGAAGGAACGUUGAAGACGACGACGUUGAUAGGCCGGGUGUGUAAGCGCAGCGAUGCGUUGAGCUAACCGGUACUAAUGAACCGUGAGGCUUAACCUUACAACGCCGAAG